UACGUAGGGUGCGAGCGUUGUCCGGAAUUAUUGGGCGUAAAGAGCUCGUAGGCGGUCUGUCGCGUCUGCUGUGAAAACCCGAGGCUCAACCUCGGGCCUGCAGUGGGUACGGGCAGACUAGAGUGCGGUAGGGGAGAAUGGAAUUCCUGGUGUAGCGGUGGAAUGCGCAGAUAUCAGGAGGAACACCGAUGGCGAAGGCAGUUCUCUGGGCCGUAACUGACGCUGAGGAGCGAAAGCGUGGGGAGCAAACAGG
rnacentral:rRNA from 1 species